AUUGAACGCUGGAGGCAAGCCUAACACAUGCAAGUCGAGCGUGCGGCGGACGGGUGAGUAAUGUAUUGGGAUCUGCCCGAUAGAGGGGGAUAACUACUCGAAAUAGUGGCUAAUAUCGCAUACUAUUGGAUCGGCCGAUAUCCGAUUAGCUAGUUGGUGGUGUAAAGGCUAACCAAGGCAACGAUCCGUAGCUGGUUUGCGAGGACGACCAGACACACUGGGACUGAGACACGGCCCAGACUCCUACGGGAGGCAGCAGUGGUGAAUUUUGGAAAAUGGGGGAAACCCUGAUCCAGCCAUCCCGCGUGUAUGAGAAGGCCUUCUGGUUGUAAAGUACUUUUGGCAGAGAAGCGGUAUCUGCAGAAUAAGCACCGGCUAACUACGUGCCAGCAGCCGCGGUAAUAC
rnacentral:rRNA from 1 species